GUCUCUUUCGUCUAUAGGUUAGGACAGUACCCUUUCACGGUGAAAAGACGGGUUCGAUUCCCGUAAGAGAUA
rnacentral:tRNA from 1 species